CGGGACGGGUGAAUAAUGUCUGGGAAACUGCCUGAUGGAGGGGGAUAACUACUGGAAACGGUAGCUAAUACCGCAUAACGUCGCAAGACCAAAGAGGGGGACCUUCGGGCCUCUUGCCAUCGGAUGUGCCCAGAUGGGAUUAGCUAGUAGGUGGGGUAACGGCUCACCUAGGCGACGAUCCCUAGCUGGUCUGAGAGGAUGACCAGCCACACUGGAACUGAGACACGGUCCAG
rnacentral:rRNA from 1 species